GUACGGCCGCAAGGUUAAAACUCAAAUGAAUUGACGGGGGCCCGCACAAGCGGUGGAGCAUGUGGUUUAAUUCGAUGCAACGCGAAGAACCUUACCUACUCUUGACAUCCAGAGAACUUAGCAGAGAUGCUUUGGUGCCUUCGGGAACUCUGAGACAGGUGCUGCAUGGCUGUCGUCAGCUCGUGUUGUGAAAUGUUGGGUUAAGUCCCGCAACGAGCGCAACCCUUAUCCUUUGUUGCCAGCGGUCCGGCCGGGAACUCA
rnacentral:rRNA from 1 species